rnacentral:rRNA from 1 species
GACAGAGGGUGCAAACGUUGUUCGGAAUUACUGGGCGUAAAGCGUGUGUAGGCGGCCAUGUAAGUCGGAUGUGAAAGCCCCGGGCUUAACCCGGGAAGUGCAUUCGAUACUGCGUGGCUUGAGUAUCGGAGAGGUUGGUGGAAUUCUCGGUGUAGAGGUGAAAUUCGUAGAUAUCGAGAGGAACACCGGUGGCGAAGGCGGCAUCCUGGACCGAUACUGACGCUGAGGAGCGAAAGCCAGGGGAGCAAACGGG